UACGUAGGAUGCAAGCGUUGUCCGGAUUUAUUGGGUUUAAAGGGUGCGUAGGCGGCUUCAUAAGUCAGGGGCGAAAGCCUAUCGCUUAACGAUAGAAUUGCCUUUGAUACUGUAAAGCUUGAAAGGGGUUGAGGUCAGCAGAAUGUGGCAUGUAGCGGUGAAAUGCAUAGAUAUGCCAUAGAACACCGAUUGCGAAGGCAGCUGGCUGGGCCUACGUUGACGCUGAGGCACGAAAGCGUGGGGAGCGAACAGG
rnacentral:rRNA from 1 species